rnacentral:rRNA from 1 species
CUUCUUUCAAGGACUAAGCCAUGCAAGCCUCAGAGUACAUGGAAUAACAGUAGAUCUGUGAAUGGCUCAUUACAUCAGCAAUAAUCUACGCGGUGACGUGGGGGUUUCAACCCUGCCUACUGGAUACCCAGGCUAACUGCCUGGCUAAUACAUGGACGAAGAACGCUU